UACGUACUCCCUCCGUCUCAAAAUUCUUGUCUUAAAUUUGUCUCCAAUUCUCCGUAUCUAGAUAAAUCUAAGAUAAGAAUUUUGGGACGGAGGGAAUACAAA
rnacentral:pre_miRNA from 1 species